GCUAAGAAUAUUCCGCAAUGGACGAAAGUCUGACGGAGCGACGCCGCGUGGAUGAAGAAGGCCGAAAGGUUGUAAAAUCCUUUUGCUGAUGAAGAAUAAGUGCGGGAGGGAAUGCCCGUAUGAUGACAUUAGUCGGUGAAUAAGCCCCGGCUAACUACGUGCCAGCAGCCGCGGUAACACGUAGGGGGCAAGCGUUGUUCGGAAUUAUUGGGCGUAAAGGGCAUGUAGGCGGUUUCGUAAGCCUGGUGUGAAAUCUUGCAGCUUAACUGUAGAAUUGCAUUGGGUACUGCGAGACUUGAAUCACAGAGGGGAAACUAGAAUUCCAGGUGUAGGGGUGGAAUCUGUAGAUAUCUGGAAGAAUACCGGUGGCGAAGGCGGGUUUCUAGCUGAUGAUUGACGCUGAGGUGCGAAAGUGCGGGGAGCAAACAGGAUUAGAAACCCUUGUAGUCC
rnacentral:rRNA from 1 species